GCAGCUUCAGAUUUUUAAGGUUUCUUUUGGUGAUUCAUCCUUUUGUUUCCUUCUCUCUCAUUUUUCUCUCUUGGUUUAUUUAUAAUAAACGACAACUAAGCAGUCUGCAGGGCAAUAAUCAGGAAAUACUGAACAUCAAGAACAUAUUUAGCUGUGAGACAGAAGCUGCUCUAAAGUUAUCAUCUUUGAUUCACCAUCAAAUGAAAUCUACAGUACAUCACAAUACUGUAACAAAGCAACAUAUUUGUUUGAAAAUCAUCCACAGCUAGAAAGCAAUUAUAAGCCUCACAUCAGCAACAACCACACCUGAAGCUGAAGCUCUUCUUCCAGACAGUGGCACCCGGGGCAGAGUUUGUUCUGACAUUCCUAAUGAUGGAAUCACCUAUGACCAGUGUUGUGACCUGAUGUGGGCGUUAUGGAGCGGAUAUGGAGCUGGUCACUCUAGAGGCAGAGCGUUGGUGCAGUCCAUGGGGACCUGAAGCUGCUGGUCAAGGGCCUCCACUCCCUAGACCAAGCAGAUCAAGCAGCAACCAACACAGCAUCACACAGCAAUGACAUAUAUGAUGUUGUGUUCUAAAACAUUUGGCGUAUUUUUGUACCAUUCCAGCUGUCAUAUGUUUCCAUUAAUUUCUGUAAUGAAAAUAGCUUGGUUGUCUUGAAGCUUGAGUUGUGUAAUCAAGUGACCAUCAAGUCUGCAUUCAUUUUCGUCAAAGUUCCUUUAUCUUUACACUGGUGUAACGGUGCAGUGCAGAUUUUUCAAAUCAGUCUCCACUUAAACUGAACUAUCGAGAGACAGUAAUGGAACAUUGACCAAAAGUAUCGCAGGGUUGAUGUUUGAACAAAAGUAUCACAGAGUUGAUGUUUAUACAACGCAAGUGAGUUUCAAAAAUAUUUUGUUUAAAGUCCCCUCCAUU